AGACAUGGAGGAGGCUGCAGCUGGGUUAGUGCUUUAGGAGUCGGGCAACAGGACUAAAAUGGAGCGUCGUCGUCACAGGACAGGCAGGAGCCUGUAGCUGCCAUGGCCGCCGCCGCGCCGGUGGAGAGCCAGAGCCUCGUCGUCCCCCUCUGUCGAAACUCCUCUCCUUCCCUCGCCUCGCUCGCACCAGCGACUGGAAGCAUCCCAGCAGUUCAAGAAACUGGCCUGUGCAAGAAUCUUCUUUAGGAGUACGCUCAGAAGAUGAAUUACGCCAUUCCGUCUUAUAUUUGCACUAAACAAGCUUCAGGCGUAGCUCCUUUCAUAUGCACUGUUGAGAUUGGUAGCAUACAAUACAUUGGUGCUGCAGCUAGAACAAAGGAGGCAGAGAUAAAAGCUACCCGAGCUGCUCCUCUUGCAAUCCAGGGGUCAAUCAGAGGGUUGCACAAAUGGCACCACAAAUUACAUUUUUGUUCCUGGCAAAAGGCAGGUUAAGGAGAUAGAAAAAAGGCCAAUUGAAACCCCAAAACCACUUAAAGUCAAGAAAGGUGGUUACAAGAAGAAAUGGAACAAAAGGAAAUUCAUGAGGAAGACUGACCAAACAGUUGAUGCUGAAAAGGAUGGAUCUAGAGUGGCUGAGGAUGCUCAUGAUCCUGAUGUCCAAAUGCAGGCAAUAAUACCAGAGGAGCCAUCUACCCACACCAUAAUCGCACAACCUGAUGAGGAAGCUAGAAGAGUAGGACAUGAGCUUCUUAGAGAUACUACAUUCUGAAGCCGAAAGAGGAAGCUAGGACCAUAGUGCAGGAGUCACUGAGCACCUCUGUAGCAUUGCAACCUCAUGGGGAAGCUACAAUGUAAAGGAGGAGCCACCAGGCAAUACCGCAAUGACGCAACCUGAGGAAACGAGAACCAUAAAGCAGGAGCCACCUAGCAAUGCUGAAUUGGUGCAACCGAACAUGGAACCUAUGGCUGAGAAAAGCAAAUUUGUCUAUGAGCAGA